rnacentral:rRNA from 1 species
CCUACGGGAGGCUGCAGUGAGGAAUAUUGGUCAAUGGGCGGGAGACUGAACCAGCCAAGUCGCGUGAGGGAUGACUGCCCAAAGUGUUGUAAACUUCUUUUAUCAGGGAAUAAAGUCAGGCACGUGUGCCUUUUUGUGUGUACUUUAUGAAUAAGGAUCGGCUAACUCCGUGCCAGCAGCCGCGGUAAUACGGAGGAUCCGAGCGUUAUCCGGAUUUAUUGGGUUUAAAGGGAGGGGAGGUGGGUUGUUAAGUCAGUUGUGAAAGGUUGCGGCUCAACCGUCAAAAUGCAAUUGAUACUGGCAGUCUUGAGUACAGUAGAGGUAGGCGGAAUGCGUGGUGUAGCGGUGAAAUGCAUAGAUAUCACGAAGAACUCCGAUUGCGAAGGCAGCUUACUAGACUGCCACUGACAUUGAGGCACGAAAGUGUGGGUAUCAAACAGGAUUAGAUACCCGAGUAGUC